GAGUAUGUAUGGCUGUGAGAUCAAAACCCACAACAACCAUUAGAUCCCGGCCGUGAAAGCCUUCGCGAAUACAUUUAAUGGCAUUGUCAAAAGUGAAGUGUUGUUCUGGGGAAAUAAAUCUUAACUGCUCAAUGAGUAGUGUCUGAAAUGGUUUUACAUCCCAGGGAUUGGUCUGGUGGUAAUGAAAAAGCUCUGAAGUUAGACGAACUAGGAUCCCAGUGUAGUUCCUCAAUACAGUUACACUUGAACAUUCUGGGUUUCGUAGUUUGGGCAUGAAAUGGUCAAUUAUUUAACUAGGCCUUGAUUCUUGAAGGCAGAACACCAUUUCAACUGGGAGUCAAUAUUGCCUGGAGGGGACAACUGAAUGCUAAGCAUAAAUGUGGUGAAGCACUCUCAUGCUGUAGGAUAAUACUAGCCUUUGUGCUUUCUCAGUUAAAAAUGUUCAAGUAAGUCUUAACAAAUUUCCCUCAAGGGUUACUGCUCCUUGGUAAAAUUGUAAUACAUUCUAGUACUGUUCCUAUAGAAGAAGGCAUAGAAAGGAAAUCAACCUUAUUUAUAAAAAUGCUAAAAGUAGGAUGUGUCCUGCUUAAUCUGGAAAUUCAGUUUUGUUGGAUGAACUAGAGAAGGAAGCUCUGGAAGUUGGGGGGCCUGAGGCUUUGUUCAAGGUUAAGGCCAAACUGAUGAUGGUGUCUGGAGGGCCUACCUGUAGUUAGCUCUGUCCUGUUCUUACACUGUGAGAAUUCUCUGCUAGCAUGUGGAAACCAGUGUCCUUGGAGACCCCGAAGUGUGUUGUGCCUCCUUCAGUGCGAUCCAUGUGAGACGAAAGCUGCUCUUGGCUAGUUCAUUUGUGGAAAUAGUCCUGUAUUUCGAGGUAACUCUUUUGCUCAUGUCUGCAUCUUCUCUCCCACAGAGCUCCAUUCUGGUGGCUACAGCAAACCACUGGUUCAUUGCUUUUGACAAAGUUGGGCAAAUCUAGGGUCCUUUUGGACCCUAGGAGAACUUGGACUGAAUCUGCAUUUUUUAUAUUCUGGGGGGAGGGCCUACCUGUCUCCUGCAACUUGAGAUUCUGCUUUCCAAAAGGGAAGGUAGUUAGCUAAACAAUACUCAGAUUCAUCCAGCUGUCUCUGCUGUCAGUUUUGUCCAAUAUCUUGUAAUGUGCCUUGUGUGGACUGCUACUUGGGAACGUCUUUCCCUGUGCAGUGUGGUUUGGGUGCGGGAGGCUUCUGUUCAUACUUGUAACAAGUUUUCCAUUUCUUAGUGUUGGCCAUGGUUCUAAAUGGGACAAAAAUGUAAACAUAGUAAUAUGGGGAAUCUCCCAAGAGCUAGAUGAAUAGCAUCACCCAGGCCUGGAAAAUCCUGUUAGGUCUGCAUAAUCUGCUGAACAUAAGAAUUUAAAUGCAUGUUUUAAGUGAUUCUCACUUGUUUCUAACAGGUAAGAAACGAUGAUGACUGCUUUAUCCUGAAAGAAAACACGUUCUCUCAGUCUUCCAAGAAGUACUGAAAUGGCAUUGUUCUACUUGGGAUCCUGAAUCCAUGCUGUGAAGGCUUUGUGUAACUGGGAGAAUAUGUGACAACUGGAAGAUACUUCUUGUGGAGAGACCAGUUCACCUGUCCAGACAGGUUUGUCUUGAAAUUGUAUGGCAGCACAGCUGUGGGGCCAGAAAUAAACAUUCUAGUUAAAGGAAGGGUUUUGUAGAAAAGCUGUGUUUUUAACAAUAUGUUAAUUUGCUUUGCACGUAAGCAGUGGCUUGCUUUAGUGUGUUAAUGUAGUUUCUUAUUCCCUAUCAGGUUGGUGACAUUACUGGAAUUGCUGCUGUUGAGACCAAUGUAACAAAUGGCAGCGUAACAAGAAGACUGACAUUGUUUUGUGGUUGAUGUUGGAAUAUAAAUGCUUACCAGAAGGGCAUGUGGCUCAUAAAAGUGACCUUAGUUUGGUCCAGUCAUUCAGGUAAAAAUGGGGUGUCCAGGUUGCUGAGAUUCAAUAAUUGUGGAUGCUCAUCAUUAUGUGCAGCUUCUUCAGAAACUAUACAAGAUGUGUAUUAAUAGCUGGGGAAAGUUUGUAUUGUACUCGGGCAAAGCAUACAAUGGAAGUCUGCAAAAUGAAGACCUUUAUAAUGGACUGAUGUAUGUAACUAAGAAUAUGUCGAUUAGCACUGCCCUAAAAUGGGGGAAAAAGUUUUAAAAGAUCUUACUCUGUACUGUGCUCGUGGAAUUUUGGUAUUUUUGGUAUGGCUUCAAAUAAAAGUCGUGAUGGAAUGAAGA